UACAGAGGUCUCAAGCGUUGUUCGGAUUCAUUGGGCGUAAAGGGUGUGUAGGUGGCGCCGUAAGUCGGGUGUGAAAUUUCGGAGCUUAACUCCGGAACUGCGUCCGAUACUGGAUGGCUUGAGUUUGGGAGAGGGAUGCGGAAUUCCAGGUGUAGCGGUGAAAUGCGUAGAUAUCUGGAGGAACACCGGUGGCGAAGGCGCAUCCUGGACCAACACUGACGCUGAUGAGCGAAGCCAGGGAGCAAAGCGGG
rnacentral:rRNA from 1 species